GCUUUUGGUUCAGUGGUAGAAUGCUCGCCUACCACGCGGGCGCUCCGGGUUCGAUUCCCGGCCGAUGCA
rnacentral:tRNA from 1 species